GUGUGUACUUAAUGUGAGUUGUUGUUGAAACUUUAAAGUGCGUGAGUUUUGUACUUAAUGUGUGUGAGUGUGUACUUAAUGUAAUUUGUUAUUAAAACUUAAGAUACGUGUGUUUUUGUGCUUAAGGUGCGUGAGUUUUGUGCUUAAGGUGCGUGAGUUUGUGUUCUAAAUGUAUUUUGUUUGUUUG